GACGUAGGGCGCGAGCGUUGUCCGGAUUUAUUGGGCGUAAAGAGCUCGUAGGCGGCUUGUCGCGUCGAAUGUGAAAUCUCAGGGCUCAACUCUGACAUUGCAUUCGAUACGGGCAGGCUAGAGUUCGGUAGGGGAGACUGGAAUUCCUGGUGUAGCGGUGAAAUGCGCAGAUAUCAGGAGGAACACCGGUGGCGAAGGCGGGUCUCUGGACCAUAACUGACGCUGAUGCACGAAAGCUAGGGGAGCAAACAGG
rnacentral:rRNA from 1 species